CGACAAGAGGAGGCUGCAGUCAGUGCUUCGCUCAUUUGCUCGGCUGAAACGGUGUCUUAUCCACCUCUAAUAAUUGCGCUCGCAUGUUCCUUGUUAUUUCUGAACGGGACUAAAGGCUUGGUGCGUAUUCACUCUCUCGCGUUUGGACUCAGUGACUAGGCAAGCAGUGUUACUUCAAGCAACAAGGCGCAGCACGGGGACCCGUGGUUGCAGUGACGGGUCCCUCUCCGCUGAUGCGAUGGUGCCGAAAUGUAGGCCAGCAAUUUUUAGAACUGUUCCAUCCCGCCUUUCUGCGAGUCGACUUAAAAUAACGUGGAGUUGGAUGAUGGAGUUGUAAUUGUAGCCUAUGUUAAGUGGAAAAAAAGGAAAUAUUUGAAGGGUAAAAGUUAAGAUUCACUUUGAGAUGUAGCUGGCUGGCGUUUGUGGUGUAUUGCGUCUUGGCGAGUGAUGGGAAAAGGCUUUCAAGCAUUCUAUUUCUCUGCUCAUGGAUCUAAGUCGUGUUGGAUCCGUUCUAUAGAUCUCUCUACUUCUGCCUCCACACUAGCCUACAUCUAUCUCUGUCUCUUGCCUAGCGAAUGAUUCAGAAAAAAGAUUAUGGGCGUAACUAAAAAGGGUAAAGGAGAAUUCACCCAGAUUUGGAACAAUAGACAUCAAUUCACAAUGGACAAUGAAUAGAGGAGCAGAACUGUUUGGGGUUCUGGACACGUCCACGCCAGGCGGGCUCGUGACGAGGCCAACGACAUGUGGUGCGGGACUGACUGGCAGUCUGGACACUUGCACAAAUUAGAGAGUCGUUUGGCCAGUUUUCUUGUCUCAGGCCACUCAAGCAAAAGUAGACUAAUGCCAGUGUUUGUAGUAAACUGCUCCAGAUUGGAUUGACUCAUUACAUACCUUUGCUCUCUUUCAACGUGUAUCUAUGCCAGAUAGCUCCGGGUUUAUUUCUCGGGCUCAGUUUAAACUCGUAUAGCUGUAGCAAACUCUACACUGCUGCUGCAGAGCUCGAGUUUUUCUAUCAUCAAAAAUUCUAUAGCCUAACUGAAAUUCAAUGUGGACAUCAGUAACGCCUAUUUUAUUGGAUUUACGGCAACAGGUGCUGAAAUCUGAGAAAGACUUUCAUACAAGCAAGGAGGAGGAGGAGAAACAGAGAGAAAAAUAGGAAGAGAAGGAGAGGAUAGGAAUGAUGCCUGUUUGGAAGCAGUGAAUGAUGAACCAGGGAGCAGGUGAACCCAGCUGUCGAUGGCCAUGGGCUCUCUGGCUCCUCUCUUCCCGUGGCCCUCUGCGCCGUGCCGGGUUCUCAGGGAGCCGGCUGGGGCCAGCCAGGCAGCGGCAGAGUGGGCAGGCGAGCCGAGGCAAGGGGAGGCGAGGCAGGCUCUCAUCCCCGCUAGCAAGAUGCUCCUCAGCAAAGCGGAGCAGCAAAUCAAUAUGGAGGAGAGAGGCUAGCAGGGUUCGCCCAUCACUGCCCCCGGCCCUAGAGCCCAGGGACCCAGCGCUGCCAGCUCUCGCUCUCCUCCUCCUCUAGUAGCAGGACCAGAACCAGCCACUGUAUGGAGCACAUCAGUCAGAUCCUAACCCUCAACCACCUGCUUUCUCUCUAUCUGUGUGUGUGUAAGCAUGUCUGUAUGUGUGGUUCUGCCGUAGGGGCUUUCGUGGUCCAAGACCACUUGCUAAAGCUUUGCCAGCGAGAAAGAGAGAGAAUAAAAAACGGACGUCAAAGGUCUUUUUCUUUUUUUUUCUCUGAUUACUCAUUCUUACUCAUUCCACCUGACUGUUUGAGCGAGAGUUCUUAUAUUGAAUUGAACAGGGCUCUCUCGUCAGUCCCCCUCCAAGCAUGUACUGUACAGUCACCAUGCUCUCCACAUGUGAUGAACCAGGAUAAAAGGACAAUUUGAACUUUUUUCUCUCGUCUGCAGAUUCAGAGAAAAUCUUUUUCGCCUCCAGUUUUCUUCCUCACCACUCAGGUUACUAUCAGAGGAGGUGGCAGAGGUUAUUGAUCUGUAUGGAGAAGGAAGAGGUGCUGGUUUUAAUACAGUACCGUUCACUGUCUGAUGGUUAUAUAGUAGUGGCUGAUAACCCAUUCACUGUACAGCUGAACUAUAUUCAGGAGUGAACGAGUCCUGAGUGAGAGAUGAAAAGGACGGUGAGCAGAUAAUGCCUGAACAGUGGCCUGAACAGUAUCCACUAUUUCAUGUGACUUUUCUCCUCCAUAUUUGAAUCAAUCUCUCCACAUAAGAAGCUUUGAAAAGACCUUCUACGCAAGAAACCCUAUCUUUAGAUACAUAGAAAUAGAAAACAUUUGAUUAAAUAAGAAUGACUGUAAGUGCUGUAUGGACACACAAAAAGCUGAAUUACAUUUAUUUCAUUGGAGAAGAAAAGGAUUGAAAACUGCUGGGCUGGAGAGGACAAAAGGGACAGAGCUUGUUUGGACCUGAAACAGUAACAACUUCACAGAGUGAGAUCUACAAACAACACAAUGUUGCAGACUUCACUUGAUGCUGAGGUUCCAAUGGAGAUGCAGUGGAAGCAUCAAGCAUCAUGUCCCGUGCAGACCAAACCAGACACACAGAGAUGUAAAGCCGUCCACUGUUCUUGUAAUAAAGGUCAAUAGAAAUACCCCACCACAGUCAAGAGGAUUCAGUUCUCCAAUCUACUGAUUAUCACCAAAUGUUUGUGUGGUCAGGUAAGUGGGAGUCUUAACAAGGGAAAGGCACAUUUAUAAGUGUAAAAAAAGUAAUAUAUUUUUUGGAAUAGUUUCAUUAGGUCUUAAUGAAAGAUUUUGAAACCAAUUUUAGGGGGAUAUUGGUUGAGAUCCCAAGGGAUCCUUUGCCGUUUCUAUUUCAGAGUAAAGCUUUUAAAUGUAAAAUCCUUGAUUUGCUCUAGUCUUUGUAUGCGUUUGCACUUCAGCUUCAUUCCCUAACCUAUAAUUUUCAUAUCAUUGAUCGUAAUAACUAUUUUUUAUGUAAAAAAUUAAAGACUGCUACAUGUUUCAGUGUCUUGUGGUACAAAAUUAAAAUAAAGUGAACUUAAUUGAAAAAAGAAAAGCUGCCUCAGUAGUUUUAUUUUUGUUUUUCCAUUUAAAUUAAUCAAAUGAAAGUUUAUCAAUGACCAUACACUGCAUAUUGUAGGUACCAAUGUAGGAUUCUAAUUUGAGCCAGUUUGCUACAGCAAGAAAAUAAUGCUGCAGCAACAGGAAAUUAUUAUGUGGAUUAUAAUUGAACACAACAUUUUUGUAGGGGUUGAUACAUGUGUAAUGUUAGGUCAAAUCAAAGUGGAAACUACAAACUUUAGAAGCAGUGCAGGAAAAUUCGCAUCAACAAAAGAGUGAUCAAAUUAAGAUCCUACAUCUGUAUACAAUAUGAACGUGGGUAAUUUCACACAGGAGGUCCAACAUUUGAAACAGCUAUUCAGAUCAUCUCAGAGUUAUCUUGAAGGACCAGAAAGGAGACAGUUAAACCAAGUGGCCUACGUCUUUGGUGCCAAUUAGGUCCCUGUGUAUGAGAGCAAAGUGGGUGUGGAAGGAAGCUGCUGGAGCUGAAGAAGGAGCUACACACAGGCCUUGUUUUUUAGUGAUCACGCCUCCUAUUGUUUUCCCACAACAGCCGGUUCAUGCGAUGCCCCAAAACCCCCAGUGCGCUUCAGUGCUCUGGCUGAAAUGGGCUCUCUGUUCCCUGCACUGGGCUGCCCGCCUAGCUCCUGCCUCGCCCUGACUGGUAAUGACCUGAAAUUAGGGCCAAGCCAGGAGGGGAGGCCCUGGGCCCUGGUCUGAAAGAAAGGAGGAGAUUAUCCCAUUCUGCCCGGCCAGUCAGCAGUGGUGGUAUUGACCAGGGCCCACCCAGGGAGGGUCCAGUGAGCCGUGAGAUGGCCUGAUAUACAUGCUUAUUGAGCUGGACAGAUUCCCUCACUCUCACCAGGGAUAAACCAAACCGUACAAGACACUUUCUUAAACACUGCUCUGGAGAUUAUAGGAGUGACCCCCCCCCCCCUGGGUGGAAACACACAAACUGGGCAGACCUCACCCUAUCCUCUGUCCAGACUGCCACUGGGAGUUUGGCCAGGCUUCUCAAUGUCGCUGUCCUGAGAGCCGAAAAGGGGUCAUCAGACCAAACAUCCUACAGUGGCCUAAUGAAAAACACUCGGAAAGUAUUCAGACCCCUUGCCUUUUUCCAAAUUUUUUACGUUACAGCCUUAUUCUAAAAUUGAUUAAAUUCAUGUUGUUCCUCGUCAAUCUACACACAAUACCCCAUAAUAACAAAGCGAAAACAGGUUUUUAGAAUGUUUUGCAAAUGUAUAAAAAAGAAAAAACAGAAAUACCUUAUUUACACAAGAAUUCAGACCCUUUGCAAUGAGACUCGAAAUUGAGCUCAGGUCCAUCCUGUUUCCAUUGAUCGUCCUGGUUUCUACAACUUGGUAAAUUCAAUUGAUUGGACAUGAUUUGGAAAGGCACACACCUGUCUAUAUAAAAGGUCCCACAGUUGACAGUGCAUGUCAGAGCAAAAACCAAGCCGUGAGGUAAAAGGAAUUGUCCAUAGAGCUCUGAGACAGGAUUGUGCCGAGGCACAGAUCUGGGGAACGGUACCAAAAAAUUUCUGAAGGUCCCCAAGAACACAGGGGCCUCCAUAAUUCUUAAAUGGAAGAAGUUUGUAACCAUGAAGACUCUUCCUAGAGCUGGCUGCCCGGCCAAACUGAGCAAUCGGGGGAGAAGGGCCUUGGUCAGGAAGGUGACCAAGAACCGAUGGUCACUCUGACAGAGCUCCAGAGUUCCUCUGUGGAGAUGGGAGAACAUUCCAGAAGGACAUCCAUUUCUGCAGCACUCCACAAUCAAGCCUUUAUGGUAGGGUGGCCAGACGGAAGCCACUCCUCAGUAAAAGGCACAUGACAGCCCGCUUGGAGUUUGCCGAAAGGCACCUAAAGGACUCUCAGACCAUGAGAAACAAGAUUCUCUGGUCUGAUGAAUCCAAGAUUGAACUAUUUGGCCUGAAUGCCAAGCGUCACGUCUGGCGGAAACCUUUUUUAUUUUUUAUUUCACCUUUAUUUAACAAGGUAGACCAGCUGAGAAAGAGUUCUCAUUUACAACUGUGACCUGGCCAAGAUAAAGCAAAGCAGUGCGACAAAAACAACACAGUUACACAUGGGAUAAAUAAACGUAGAAAAAUCUGUAUACAGUGUGUGCAAAUGAAGUAAGGAGAUAGGGCAAUAAAUAGGCCAAUAGUGGUGAAGUAAUUACAAUUUAGCAAUUAACACUGGAGUGAUAUGUGUGCAGAUGAGGAUGUGCAAGUAGAAAUACUGUUGUAUUUGAGCAGAAAAAUAAAACAAAUAUGGGGAUGAGGUAGGUAGUUGGUUGGAUGGGCUAUUUACAGAUGGGCUGUGUACAGCUGCAGCUAUCGGUAAGCUGCUCUGACAGCUGACACUUAAAGUUAGUGAGGGAGAUAUAAGUGUCCAACUUCAGUGAUUUUUGCAAUUCGUUCCAGUCAUUGGCAGCAGAGAAUUGGAAUGAAAGGAGGCCAAAGUAGGUGUUGGCUUUGGGGAUGACCAGUGAAAUAUACCUGUUGGAGCGCAUGCUAUGGGUGGGUGUUGCUAUGGUGACCAGUGAGCUGAGAUAAGGCGGAGCUUUACCUAGCAAAGACUAAUAGAUGACCUGGAGCCAGUGGGUUUGGCGACGAAUAUGUAGCGAGGACCAGCCAACGAGAGCAUACAGGUUACAGGGGUGGGUAGUAUAUGAGGCUUUGGUGACAAAAUGGAUGGCACUGUGAUAGACUGCAUCCAAU
rnacentral:lncRNA from 1 species